rnacentral:misc_RNA from 1 species
GAUGAAGAACGUAGCGAAAUGCGAUAAGUAAUGUGAAUUGCAGAAUUCAGUGAAUCAUCGAAUCUUUGAACGCACAUUGCGCCCCCUGGUAUUCCGGGGGGCAUGCCUGUUCGAGCGUCAUUUCACCACUCAAGCCUCGCUUGGUAUUGGGCAACGCGGUCCGCCGCGUGCCUCAAAUCGUCCGGCUGGGUCUUCUGUCCCCUAAGCGUUGUGGAAACUAUUCGCUAAAGGGUGUUCGGGAGGCUACGCCGUAAAACAACCCCAUUUCUAAGGUUGUCCUCGGAUCAGGUAGGGAUACCCGCUGAACUUAAGCAUAUCAAUAAGCGGAGGA